rnacentral:siRNA from 1 species
AGAACAGAACGGAUGUGCGGA